rnacentral:piRNA from 1 species
UAAACUACAUUUAAGGAUUGGUCCAAUGCC